GUCGGACAAACAAUAAACCUCAGUUUCAAUUAGGUCGGACAGAAUGUCCGGUGGUUUCCUCACUACGUCGGACAAUUUCGCGAAUGGGUCGGACAAUGUCCGUGACCGACCGAUAUUUUAAGGCCUGAUUAUACGGAUCGCGAAUCGAAUGUAUAAUCGCGUGUUAUUGUUCCUGAAUAUACGGCCCGACAUUAUGGCUUUUGCCUGCAAUUUAGAUACAGAAUAGUACGCAUAUGUAAAAGGCGG